rnacentral:rRNA from 1 species
CAGCAGCCGCGGUAAAACGGAGGGUGCAAGCGUUAUCCGGAUUUAUUGGGUUUAAAGGGUCCGUAGGCGGACUUAUAAGUCAGUGGUGAAGCCUGUCGCUUAACGAUAGAACUGCCAUUGAUACUGUAAGUCUUGAGUAUAUUUGAGGUAGCUGGAAUAAGUAGUGUAGCGGUGAAAUGCAUAGAUAUUACUUAGAACACCAAUUGCGAAGGCAGGUUACCAAGAUAUAACUGACGCUGAGGGACGAAAGCGUGGGUAGCGAACAGGAUUAGAUACCCCCGUAGUCCCUGUCUCUUAUACA